rnacentral:misc_RNA from 1 species
GAUGAUCCCUCAACAAUCGUGGCUGGAAAAGUCAAGGGAAGGCUAAAGGUCACUCGCGCACUUGGUGUGGGAUAUCUGAAAAAGAAAACAAUGAAUGAUGCCUUGAUGGGCAUACUUCGAAUUCGUAAUCUGAUCAGUCCUCCAUAUGUUUCUGUACAACCUCAUAUGACUGUACACGAAAUCUCAAGUUCAGACCAGUUUGUUGUACUUGGAAGUGAUGGUUUAUUUGACUUCUUCAGCAAUGAUGAGGUUGUUAAGCUUGUCCAUUCUUAUAUCUUAUGUCACCCUUCUGGUGAUCCAG